rnacentral:rRNA from 1 species
GGGGGGAAUCUUGCGCAAUGGGCGAAAGCCUGACGCAGCCAUGCCGCGUGAAUGAUGAAGGUCUUAGGAUUGUAAAAUUCUUUCACCGGGGACGAUAAUGACGGUACCCGGAGAAGAAGCACCGGCUAACUUCGGGCCAGCAGCCGCGGUAAUACGAAGGGGGCUAGAGUCGCUCGGAAUUUCUGGGCGUAAAGGGCGCGUAGGCGGACAGUGUCGUCAGAGGUGCAAGCCCAGGGCUCAACCUUGGAAUUGCCUUUGUGACUGGCUGUCUUGAGUACGGGAGAGGUGAGUGGAACUCCGAGUGUAGAGGUGAAAUUCGUAGAUAUUCGGAAGAACACCAGUGGCGAAGGCGACUCACUGGCCCGUUACUGACGCUGAGGCGCGAAAGCGUGGGGAGCAAACAGGAUUAGAAGCCCGGGUAGUCC